rfam:Salmo salar isolate Sally breed double haploid chromosome ssa27, whole genome shotgun sequence.
GGGGAAUUAGCUCAAAUGGUAGAGUGCUUGCUUAGCAUGCGAGCGGUAGUGGGAUCGAUGCCCACAUUCUCCA